rnacentral:rRNA from 1 species
GACGAACGCUGGCGGCGUGCUUAACACAUGCAAGUCGAACGGAAAGGCCCUGCUUUUGUGGGGUGCUCGAGUGGCGAACGGGUGAGUAACACGUGAGUAACCUGCCCUUGACUUUGGGAUAACUUCAGGAAACUGGGGCUAAUACCGGGUAGGAGCUCCUGCUGCAUGGUGGGGGUUGGAAAGUUUCGGCGGUUGGGGAUGGACUCGCGGCUUAUCAGCUUGUUGGUGGGGUAGUGGCUUACCAAGGCUUUGACGGGUAGCCGGCCUGAGAGGGUGACCGGCCACAUUGGGACUGAGAUACGGCCCAGACUCCUACGGGAGGCAGCAGUGGGGAAUAUUGCACAAUGGGCGGAAGCCUGAUGCAGCAACGCCGCGUGCGGGAUGACGGCCUUCGGGUUGUAAACCGCUUUCGACUGUGACGAAGCGUGAGUGACGGUAAUGGGUAAAGAAGCACCGGCUAACUACGUG